rnacentral:lncRNA from 1 species
AGAGGAGAAAUCAUUUGGCAAGGCGGGGAUGAAGAUGACUAACUAAAACUUUCUAAUUUUGUGGAUUUCAGCUUAACAAGUUAGAGCUAAGAUUUUGAAGCAUGCUACUGUAAAGAACUGAUAAGAACCUCCAGAGAUGGCAGCUUCCUUUUCCUACCAUCCUGGGCACCUGGCUGCCAUUUCCUAAAUGCCAGUGUGAUUAAUGAGUGCCAGAGAUAGCAGAUGGGAAGGGAAUUCUUCCCAAGACUUGUGUAAAAGGAAACAGACAUUGGAUUGUUCUAUGAUUUAUGGUAUACUUAUUUUGCUAUGUCCUAUAAACCAUUAUGAAGAACGAUAUGGACCACUGUGAGGAAAG